AAUCAACGCUGGCGGCGUGCCUCAGACAUGCAAGUCGAACGCGAAAGUUUCCUUCGGGGAACAAGUAGAGUGGCGCACGGGUGAGUAACACGUAGGUAAUCUACCUUUGGAUGGGGAAUAACAACCGGAAACGGUUGCUAAUACCGCAUAAUGCAGCGGCACCUAAUGGUGACAGUUGUUAAAGCGGGGGAUCGAAAGACCUCGCGUCUGAAGAGGAGCCUGCGGCGGAUUAGCAGUUGGUAAGGUAAUGGCUUACCAAGGCGACGAUCCGUAACCGGCCUGAGAGGGCGGUCGGUCACACUGACACUGACAUACGGGUCAGACUCCUACGGGAGGCAGCAGUCGGGAAUUUGGGCAAUGGGCGAAAGCCUGACCCAGCAACGCCGCGUGAAGGAU
rnacentral:rRNA from 1 species